AAACAUCAGAAUAAUAUAUACCAUGCCUGAAUAGGUUUACGAUAUGAAAUUUGAAACCUUGAUUGAACAGGGCUUGUGUGACGCGUUCUGUUUCAACUUGACAUUCGUCAAUCUUUGUAAGCAUACCCUUUUCGUUUCUGAGCAGAAUUGAGUGGGAGUUUCUCGCAGUAUUUUGUGUUCGUUUUAGGCGCUCAUCAUGAAGAUACCGUUCGCCGUCUUCGUCUUUGCAGGUAAGCAACGAAUCAAUUUUGAUACGAAUUUCUAAAUUAAGCCCCGCUCAAAAAAACGAGAAUGUGAACGGGCAAGCACGAAUUGCCAUAGGGAACAUUUCAAGAGAUGAACAAAAUAAAG